GAUUACCUCGAACGAGUGCCUUAAUCAAUGCGAAAAAACGGAUAUUUAUUUUUCAUCAUCGUACUGAAACAUCUAUUUAAGUACAAACAAGUAAAGAGAUUCAUCAUCAGUAGGGAGACGAACAAGUAUGGAGGAAGAGCAAUUGGUAGUUCCUGAGGACAGGGGUAGUGCUAUUUGGCGGACCCUUAAAAAAUUUGCUUCAGCAAUCACAAUCGAACCUGCAGUAUUUUGUAUGGUUUUUUCCUUUGGUGUUCUCAUCAAUGUUAGGCCUACUUUACUUUUAGAUCGAUGUUGUACAAGGGACUACGGAUUUUCCAAAGAUAUUUGUAACAAUUUAAAAGAGUAUGAAAAUGAACUCAAGGAGUGUCAAGUAUGGUCGAAUCAAAUAAAUGUCUACAAAGAGGUAUUGCAAUCCAUUCCCUCUGCAAUUAGUACAUUAUUUGUGGGGGCUUGGAGUGACAAAUGUGGAAGGAAGCCUGCUUUCUUGGUUCCCUUAUUUUUCAAUAUUCUUGAGUAUAUUUUCUAUCUUUUAUUUUCGUUAUAUGAGCAAUUAUCGAAUCAGUAUUACAUUCUGUCUGCCAUUUGUGGAUUAGGUGGUGGUUUGCCUUUGUUUCUUGCAGCCACCUUCAGUUACAUUACGGAUAUUUCCUCUGUUGAACAAAGAAAUACACGAAUAUCUCUCAUAGAUGGAAGUUUAUUUAUAGGGCUACCACUCGGCUCCAUUUUCUCUGGAAUGAUGUUGAAAAAAAUAGGCUAUGUCGGGAUUUUUUCCACAUCUAUAGCAUUAAUGGUGACGUCUUUUAUCUAUGUCCUCCUUAGGAUUAACAAUUCCGUAUCUGGGAAUGAUUAUAAUUUGAGUGUGGGUGGUGCAGGAAGAUCCGGGAGAUUAAUAUCUAUAUUGAGGGAAACGUAUCGUGCCGUAUUUAAAAAGAGACCUGAAAGAACUGCAUUUUUUUUAUUGAUGAUCUCAAUGCUUCUUUACUUAUCUUGCUAUGGCGUGAAUCAAUAUUAUUAUACAAUAGUGAUGUACCAAUGGUCGGAAGAGAUGUAUUCAUACUUUUUUAGUAUAUUUGUUUUUGUGGAUGGGAUUUUCUCCUAUAUAGUCUAUCCAUUCUUCAUGCAUAAAAUCCAUGCUUCAGAUCCAACUCUAGGGAUCGGGGGAGAAUUAGCAUCAUUUGUUAAGAGUCUUAUACUUUUUUAUUCUCUCAAUUCAAACAUAUUUAUAAUAGGGUUACACUCCGUCAUUUAUGAGCACACACAAACGUUUAAUAAGGUUUUGAAUAUAAUUGGAUACAUUUAGGAAAGGAUGUUGUUCACUACUCAGGAAUGAAAUAAAGAAAAUAAAAUCCAUUCUUUAGAUUACCAAUUCCAAAAAACAGGCAAGCUAAACAAAAUCACCAAAUUUACAUCACUGCACAUUAUUCUGUUCUCAAUCAAGCAAUCAAUAUAUCAUCAAGAUACACGAAGACAUUUUUAAUUCCCCUAAAAACAGAAUCAAUGAGUCGUUGGAAUGUCUGGGUAGCAUUUUUAAGCCCAAACGGCAUUCUCAAGUACUCAUACAACCCAAAUGGCGUAAUGAUAGCUGUUUAACUCAUGGAGUCUUCACUUAUGGGUAUUAGAUUGUUGGCCACGAAAUCCCUUAAAUUUGGAAGAGGAUAUCGAAUAACAUCCAUAGUGUUAUUUAAUGGAUGAUAAUUGUUAUGUAUUUAAUAUCUCCUUACAUGUUUUUAUCUUCUUGUAAAUUCGUCUAUGUAUUAUAAGUACUGUGUUUUACGUGUUAUAAAUAGUAUCGUCUUUUGUAA
rnacentral:misc_RNA from 1 species